CGUUGGGGUUUUUUUGGAUGCGUGGGAAGCAGGGUAUUUAUCAUAUGGUAGAAAAAGUAUCACUGCAAGCAGACUGGCUUUCAGCUGUGCUUUGCAAAUAUAAUAAUACUUUAUUAAACUCCUACCUCCAGGUCUCACCUUCUCCAAUUUGAACAGUUGAACCUAAAAGGCUGAACUGGAAAACAUAUACCGCCGCUAGGCUAUAUCAAGAUACAGCUUUUCAUGUCUUUAAUUAGCCUUUAUUAAAGAAUAAAUAGAAAUGUGCAUCUUUUUCAGAAAGAAAGAAUUCCUAAAUGUGGGUAAGAAAUUCUAAGUAAAGAGUCCUGUACUCUGUUAAUGGACUACAGUAAGCAUUGAUGGUAGGGAAGAAAUUUUCUGUUUACUGGGAUAAAAAGUAGUAUUCAAAUAACCAAUUAACAAGAGAACCAAUAAGCUGCUCAGAAUUUAAAUAUAGCUCCAAAUGAACAACCAAUCACAUCACCAACUGACCAAACUGACACAAGAUAUUUAUAAGUGAAGGAGAAUAGGACAAGAACAUCCUGCUGUUACCUAGUCUGGUAACGAAACAUUCAAAAACUAAACUGAAAUAAGCUUGGAGAGCAAACCACUGCCAAAAUGGAAAUUAGUAUUUCUGAUUUGUGAAAAAAAGCAGUGAUAGGUGAGAAUGUUUUAUGUAAAUCACGGCACAAUUAAUGAUCUCCCUUGAAAAAAAUAAAUCAGAAAAUCAGUUAAAAGAUGUGCCAUAGGUUGGAGCUUAAAUGACAAAGGAUAUGGCAUCCUACAAUGAAAAAUGUUCUCAUCGAUUCACUGUAAAUCUAGAGGCAACCAUCUUAAGCACCAAAAAAGAAACGAAGAAAAGUAUGAAUGAAUGCUAUUGUUACUGAAGAAGUUACCAAUAUUGAUGGUAUUGGGAAUAUUCUUCUUGUUUCUCAUAAUGAAUAAGGGUGAGAAGAAAGAACACUACUGCUCCCCAUGGAAAGGGAAUAUUGGGGUUUAAUCUAAGCAUCAGGAAACAUUGAAACCCCAUAGAAGUAAAGAAUAACUUUACUCUGGCAAGUAAAGAGGAUCCAAGGUGUUGUUUAUAAGAUCAUAUUUGAGCUCUGCCACAUCUUGUUGGAUCAGCUUUAACCAACUUUUACCUGAUCCAGGAUAUCUUUUAACAGAACAGUAGAAGAGUCUUCUUUUACCAUCUUGCCUGACUCACUAGAUAAUGGUGCAGUUGAAAUUAAACCACUGUUAAACAUUUACAUUUGAUUGCCAUUCUAAUAGAUCAUUAAAUGGAAAUUUUAUGUAAUAAAAAGUUUUAUUUACUAAUAA